rnacentral:rRNA from 1 species
UACGAAGGGGGCUAGCGUUGCUCGGAAUCACUGGGCGUAAAGCGCACGUGGGCGGAUUGUUAAGUCAGGGGUGAAAUCCUGGAGCUCAACUCCAGAACUGCCUUUGAUACUGGCGAUCUCGAGUCCGGGAGAGGUGAGUGGAACUGCGAGUGUAGAGGUGAAAUUCGUAGAUAUUCGCAAGAACACCAGUGGCGAAGGCGGCUCUCUGGGCCAUUACUGACGCUGAGGAGCGAAAGCGUGGGGAGCGAACAGG